GACGAACGCUGGCGGCGUGCUUAACACAUGCAAGUCGAACGGAAAGGCCUGCUUUCCCUUGUGGAUUGCGGGUACUCGAGUGGCGAACGGGUGAGUAACACGUGAGUGAUCUGCCCCCAACUUGGGUAUAAGCCUGGGAAACUGGGUCUAAUUCCCGAUAGGACUGCAGGGUGGUGCCUGUGGUGGAAAACGAUUUUCUAGUGGUUGGGGAUGAGCUCGCGGCCUAUCAGCUUGUUGGUGGGGUAAUGGCCUACCAAGGCGGCGACGGGUAGCCGGCCUGAGAGGGUGGACGGCCACAUUGGGACUGAGAUACGGCCCAGACUCCUACGGGAGGCAGCAGUGGGGAAUAUUGCACAAUGGGCGGAAGCCUGAUGCAGCGACGCCGCGUGGGGGAUGACGGCGUUCGGGUUGUAAACUCCUUUCGACCGCGAGGAAGCCACCUGGUUGGAAGGGUGGUGACGGUAGUGGUAGAAGAAGCACCGGCUAACUACGUG
rnacentral:rRNA from 1 species